rnacentral:rRNA from 1 species
GUUAUUGAAAAAACAGUUAAAUCUAUGCCCAAUCUCGUCUGAUCUUGGAAGCUAAGCGGAGUUGGACCUGGUUAGUACUUGGAUAGGUACAUUGGAAGCUAAGCAGAGUUGGACCUGGUUAGUACUUGGAUAGGUACCACCUAGGAAGACCAGGUGCUGUGAACA